CCAAUAAUUUAAACGAGAGCGUCAAUAUAAUUAAAUCGUCAGUACGCGAAAGUCGACUAAUAGUACGCAUCCUUGAAAACAUCGACUAACAGAGUGCAUCUUUACAAUUCUUGUAAACUACGCAAUAAAUAUAUGAAUAAAGACAGACGAGUUUUAAUGGAAAUAGAUGAUGGACAAAUUCGUGAUUAAAAAGAAAAGGGAAAAUUACAAUAACACACAUCAAGAAGCCUCAAAUUAAGGAGGCAUGUCAGAGACUGCUGAAAUCAAAAGAAAGUUUAGAGCUGAGUGGCUCACCACUUUCGCAUGGCUGUCUAACAAAGAUGGUUCAGCAUUUUGUGAGGCAUGUAAUAA